UACAUAGCAUAUCAGAAGGCACACCCGGAGAACUGAAACAUCUUAGUACCCGGAGGAAGAGAAAGAAAAUUCGAUUCCCUUAGUAGCGGCGAGCGAAACGGGAAGAGCCCAAACCAACAAGCUUGCUUGUUGGGGUUGUAGGACACUCUAUACGGAGUUACAAAGGACGACAUUAGACGAAUCAUCUGGAAAGAUGAAUCAAAGAAGGUAAUAAUCCUGUAGUCGAAAAUGUUGUCUCUCUUGAGUGGAUCCUGAGUACGACGGAGCACGUGAAAUUCCGUCGGAAUCUGGGAGGACCAUCUCCUAAGGCUAAAUACUCUCUAGUGACCGAUAGUGAACCAGUACCGUGAGGGAAAGGUGAAAAGCACCCCGGAAGGGGAGUGAAAUAGAACCUGAAACCGUGUGCUUACAAGUAGUCAGAGCCCGUUAAUGGGUGAUGGCGUGCCUUUUGUAGAAUGAACCGGCGAGUUACGAUUUGAUGCAAGGUUAAGCAGUAAAUGUGGAGCCGUAGCGAAAGCGAGUCUG
rnacentral:rRNA from 1 species